rnacentral:ncRNA from 1 species
GAUUGCAUUCCUUUCUGUAAUCGCGGCUG